rnacentral:rRNA from 1 species
GAUGGUUCAUUCAAAUUUCUGCCCUAUCAACUUUCGAUGGUAGAGUAGUGGUCUACCAUGGUUUCAACGGGUAACGGGGAAUAAGGGUUCGAUUCCGGAGAGGGAGCCUGAGAAACGGCUACCACAUCCAAGGAAGGCAGCAGGCGCGCAAAUUACCCAAUCCCGACACGGGGAGGUAGUGACAAUAAAUAACAAUAUAGGGCUCUUUUGGGUCUUAUAAUUGGAAUGAGUACAAUUUAAAUCUCUUAACGAGGACACAAUUGGAGGGCAAGUCUGGUGCCAGCAGCCGCGGUAAUUCCAGCUCCAAUAGCGUAUAUUAAAGUUGUUGCAGUUAAAAAGCUCGUAGUUGAACUUCAGAUCUGGUUGAGUGGUCCGCCUAACGGUGUGUUACUGCUUGACUGGGUCUUGUCUCUUGGUGAACCGUUGUGUUCUUUAUUGGAUGCUUCGGGGAACCAGGACUUUUACCUUGAGAAAAUUAGAGUGUUCAAAGCAGGCCUAUGCCCGAAUACAUUAGCAUGGAAUAAUAGAA